rnacentral:rRNA from 1 species
GAAGGCAGAUCGUGAGGACUGCUGGAGCGCUUAGAAGUGAGAAUGCCGGUAUGAGUAGCGAAAGACAGGUGAGAAUCCUGUCCACCGAAUGACUAAGGUUUCCUGGGGAAGGCUCGUCCGCCCAGGGUUAGUCGGGACCUAAGCCGAGGCCGACAGGCGUAGGCGAUGGAUAACAGGUUGAUAUUCCUGUACCCGUUGUUUUUGUUUGAGCAAUGGAGGGACGCAGGAGGCUAAGGAAUGCAGACGAUCGGAAAUGUCUGUCCAAGCAG